rnacentral:lncRNA from 1 species
CGACUUUCUCCUAAUAUUUGUAGCUGAUUAACUCAAGUUGGUCAAUGACUAAUUUUCCCCUUUCACUUGGGCCUUUUGGAUCUCUAAAUCAAUGGGCUUUAGUGGCCCAUUUCCUUACUCUUUCUUGCACUUUGUUUGGGCCCAAUUUUGUUAGUAGUGAAUGAAUGUAGUUGGGCCUAUUAUAUAAAAAUUUUGGGCUGAAC